UCUGCUCUCCUCUCCACUACCACACCUCUUUCUCCCCCUCCUUCAAAGUACUUACUUGAUCGAUCAAAACUCGCUUUCUUUUGUUAAUUUCUUCUCGGAUUUCAACCAACGAUUUCGUUUUGGUUGUUUUUUUGAGGCUCGGUGUUGAUGGAGAGAAGAAAUCUGCGAAAGAGCAGUAGUGAAGAGGAGAGCUUGAGCUUGAGCUUGAGCUUUUUCAAGUGGUUCCAGCGCGGCUUCAAGCAAGCAAAAGCCACUUUAUGAAGACGAACGGAUUGAUGAUGAAGCCGGCCGGCUCGUGAUGAUCAGGAGGAGAUGAAGAGGAUCAGGUCUGGCUUUGGCUCGCCUUACAUGAGCGGCCGAGCCGCAGCAACAUGGAGGCUGCUGUCAAGUGGUUGUUUCUCCG
rnacentral:lncRNA from 1 species